UGAUGUGAGGCAAUAAGUGCUACCUUUCCUGCAAUGGGCUAGCAUGAGGUAGCAGCCAUCUGCCACUGCUGCCAUCCCCCUAGCAGUGCCUCAGCACCUGCCUCAGUGGAGCCUGCCCUGAGAAACACCAGGUACUGAGCCUCAAGUAGCAGAAUGUCAAAGUGAAUGAACCUUGAAGCAAAAGCUGACACAGGAGGGGAGGCAAGCACAGGAACCACGGUAGAGCAAAUAGAUCCUGCGUGCCUCAUCAGUGCUUUGAAGCUUUCUGUCCUGGCAGAAGGGAAGGGUGUUUGAAAAGCCGAGACUCUGCCUACGUAUGUAUGUAGACUUCUCAGUCAAAUGGCCUGCUAUUGCCUGCUUUCUUGCUGAGCAGAUAACCAGAAGAUAGCCUUUUCAUGCCUUCAUGUGCGUAUUUAUAUGGUGAGAGAUCUUACAGCAGCAAGACUUCCAUGCCCAAAGAGAAACAAAACAAAAUCUUUCUGCAUUGGAAUGAAGCUUACCAUUGCUCAAUUUACUGGAAACAAAAGUCCUCAUCUGAAGGGACCAGAAGUGUUUAAAAACAAUUGUCUGGUUCCCCUUUGCAUCAUGAAGCACUGGCUGUUUGCCUGAUGCUCUAACAAGAAGCUCAGAGCUCAAAAGAUGUUGGAGAGACCGAUCCAGCCAUAGUUUCUAAGGCCCUGGCACUUCUCAGCAUGUGAGAAACUGAACUGGCAAGAAAUCAAGGUUUGAAGAGUCAGCAAAACUGACUGCCCCUCCAAACUUUUCAGUUUUGACAAAUCAUUUUUCAAAAAAAUGUUCCUGCAGGAAAUGUACAAGUACCCUGGAGAUAAGGGGAGGGAAGGAGAGAGAAAAGAUUUACAUUUUACUCUUUCUGCCUUUUUAAUUGAACAGGCCAGGGAGAUGCUCUCAUGGUGCAGGCAGGGACUGAGUCAGGGGGAACUGGAUUAAGAACAUUAUUAAAAAGAGCAGUGAAUGUUGUCAGCGUGUUGUACUCUACAGAUGUGAUCUGUCUGUUACAUUUUGGCUGCUUAUUUCUGGGUUAAAAUGGAAACGUCUGCAGUAGAUGUGUUUUGUUCUGUGAAUGCAGAGCCCUGAACACAGAGCCUGGUGCUCGGUACCCAUGGCCAGCCCUUGCCAGGUCCUGGCUGAAUGCCUGCGGAAAGCCAAAAGGAAACCACCCGACUUGUGAGCCUGGUGGAAGUUCAGGCUCAGCAUGCAACACAAGUUACAGUCCUGGUGGCAGUUGUACUUCAUUUGUGGAUUUGUACAUUAUGUUCAGGGCCGAAGGUAUUUAAAAGCCAUUUAAUUACAUGAAAACAUUUCUUUCAUGCAGUUGCUGGUUAAGAGACCCAGUGAUUUAAUAGUUACAAUCAUAACCCACACAAGGUAACGCGCAGGGCUGUAACUAAAGCUCGUAAAUGACUGCUGCUGUUGACAAAUCCCUUAAAACAAAAGGGUUCUCUGAUGGUCACAGGGUCCAACCUGUUGGUCGAAGCAGGACAACUCAAAUUGAAAAG